UUUCACAACUCACCUGUUCACCUAAUGGAGGGUGGCUCUCUUUCGGGAGGGGGGACCUAUGUCUUCAUACGCCUCUUCCUGUAGAAAGUCUUAAAAUGUUUACUAUCAGAAAGUCGCGACUUCUAGGAGACGCGAAUCUCUGAGAUAAAAGUUAAUUACAACUUUCAGCAAUGGAUCUCUUGGCUCUCGCAUCGAUGAAGAACGCAGCGAAAAGCGAUAUGUAAUGUGAAUUGCAGAUCUACAGUGAAUCAUCGAAUCUUUGAACGCACCUUGCGCUCCUCGGUGUUCCGAGGAGCAUGCCUGUUUGAGUGUCAGUAAAUUCUCAACCCCUCUCGAUUUGUUUCGAGGGGGAGCUUGGAUAGUGGGGGCUGCCGGAGACUAUGAUUCUUCCUUGACUCUGGCUCUCCUUAAAUGCGUCGGCUUGCGGUCGACUUUCGACUUUGCGCGACAAGGGUUUCUGCGUGAGAAUGAUCGCCGUUCGCUGAAACGCAUGAAGGAAAUGUUCCGUGCCUCUAAUACGUCGACAUUAUUGUCUUCCUCAUUGACUUUUGACCUCUAAUCACGUAAGACUACCCGCUGA
rnacentral:rRNA from 1 species